rnacentral:rRNA from 1 species
GUAUUUGAGUCGUGAAUUUUUUAUGUGGUGCUGCAGGCGCGAGAACUUUACAAUACCGGCAACAGUGAUAAGGGGACCUCGAGUGCCAGGUUACAAAUCUGGCUGUCGUGAUGCCUAAAAAGCAUUGCAUAGCAAGGGCCGGGCAAGACCGGUGCCAGCCGCCGCGGUAACACCGGCGGCUCGAGUGGUAACCGUUAUUAUUGGGUCUAAAGGGUCUGUAGCCGGCCGGAUAAGUCUCUUGGGAAAUCUGGCAGCUUAACUGUCAGGCUUUCAGGAGAUACUGUCUGGCUCGAGGCCGGGAGAGGUGAGAGGUACUUCAGGGGUAGGGGUGAAAUCUUGUAAUCCUUGAAGGACCACCAGUGGCGAAGGCGUCUCACCAGAACGGACCUGACGGCAAGGGACGAAAGCUAGGGGCACGAACCGGAUUAGAUACCCGGGUAGUCCUAGCUGUAAAGGGAUACUGCUUGCUUGUAUGGCCUAGGACUGGCAUGGGCUCGCUGGAAUGGCUGCGGAGCACAGCACU